AGAUGCGAUCAUACCAGCACUAAAGCACCGGAUUCCAUCAGAACUCCGAAGUUAAGUGUGCUUGGGCGAGAGUAGUACUAGGAUGGGUGACCUCCUGGGAAGUCCUCGUGUUGCAUUCC
rnacentral:rRNA from 2 species